rnacentral:rRNA from 1 species
UACGUAGGGGGCGAGCGUUGUCCGGAUUUAUUGGGCGUAAAGAGCUCGUAGGCGGUUGGGUAAGUCGGGUGUGAAAACUCAGGGCUCAACUCUGAGACGCCACUCGAUACUGCCCUGACUCGACGUCCGGUAGGGGAGCGUGGAAUUCCCGGUGUAGCGGUGAAAUGCGCAGAUAUCGGGAGGAACACCAGUGGCGAAGGCGGCGCUCUGGGCCGGUAACUGACGCUGAGGAGCGAAAGCGUGGGGAGCGAACAGG